GAGGGUGUAACUCAGUGGUAAAGUGCAUGCCUAGCACGCACGAGGUCCUGGGUUCCAUCCUCAGUUCCAUCC
rnacentral:tRNA from 1 species